GAGGGGACCCGUGCCACCAGGCAAGGUGUCUGGGGGCGAGGUGAGAGUUCUGCCAAAGCCGGAGCCAGGGUUGGACCCCCGGAGCUACUUGGUCGGCCCCUGGAGGGAGAGUGGUGUGUUCACACCGUGGCCCUGGUGGCCCAGCUCUGCCCAUCUUCAUCCCAGGUGGCAGCUACUGCCCAGCUCUCUGGCCAGUGCCUCUUAGAUGGUGUCACCACCUGCAGAAGAAAACAGAAGUGCUGACUAAUAUUUGAUGAAGGCCUGCUAUGCCGGCGGCACCUGAUGUGGCAGGUGAAGUCAGGGGGGCAGCAGCCAAGGCUGCCUGUUCCUCAGUGUCCCUGCCCGUGAGACGGGCAUAGCUAACUCCUGUGGCCACCUUGAGGGUAAGAUGCUUCCUGCAGGUGCUUGGACCAGUAUCUGGCACGGGGCAGGUGCUCAGUGAAAGUUCCUUAUUAAUCCCUGUACCUUUCACUGUUGGAAGUAACUCAGGACAUUGGCUUGGUGGUUACACAAGCACUGUGGGAGAAGGUGGUGUAUCUGUUCACCCUGGGUCCCAGUGGCUGAGGCAGAGCCAGCCAUGCAGGAGGCAGGCGUCCAAUAUGUAUAUUGGAUGGAAGAUCGAAUUGCAUAAUAAAAUAUAUUAAAGAUUUCCAGAGUGGAGGGGUGAGGAGGUCAACAAACCCUCUCCCCAAAAUGUACCUGUAAAUCUAAACAAAAGUCAGAAACAACCAUGUUGGUGCUUUGGAAUGUAACCAAAGGCAAACAGCAAACCAAGGAGUGUUUAUUCAUCAAAGAGCCACGCGCUGUGGUCCCAGCCACUCGGGAAGCUGAGGCAGGAGGGUCACUGGAGCCCAGGAGCUGGAAGCUGCAGUGAAUUACGAUGGCACCUGCUCUCCAGCCUGGGUGACAGAGAGAGACCCCG
rnacentral:lncRNA from 1 species